rnacentral:rRNA from 1 species
GACGAACGCUGGCGGCGUGCUUAACACAUGCAAGUCGAGCGGUAAGGCCCUUUCGGGGGUACACGAGCGGCGAACGGGUGAGUAACACGUGGGUGACCUGCCUCUAGCUCUGGGAUAAGCCUGGGAAGCUGGGUCUAAUACCGGAUAUGACCUCGCGGUGCAUGUUGCGGGGUGGAAAGCCUUGUGCGGCUAGGGGAUGGGCCCGCGGCCUAUCAGCUUGUUGGUGGGGUGANGGCCUACCAAGGCGACGACGGGUAGCCGGCCUGAGAGGGCGACCGGCCACACUGGGACUGAGACACGGCCCAGACUCCUACGGGAGGCAGCAGUGGGGAAUCUUGCGCAAUGGGCGAAAGCCUGACGCAGCGACGCCGCGUGAGGGAUGACGGCC